GGGGACGUGGAGGUAAUGAUAGCCUUGCUGGUUUUGACACCCAGAGGUGCGGGUUUGACUCCCGUCGUCUCCACCA
rnacentral:tRNA from 1 species